rnacentral:lncRNA from 1 species
UUUUAUGAAUCUCUUAUGUUCUCUCUUAAUUUUCUUUUCUACGACUUCUUUUUGUUACAAACACAACCUUGAAUCAAUUCAUGUUUUUGAAAUUUAUAAUUAGGGUUGUUUUUAUUUCUGUGUGCAGGUUCAAAGUUGGAUUAAAAGGAUGUGUAUUGGCAGCAUAGUGGUUCAUCUCAAGUUGCAGACUAGCCAACAAAUGGAUUUUGAAUGAUUACAGGGCCCUGUUGAUGCUUGCUUGCUUGAUGAAGGAAACCGAAAUGCAUUUGAUCCAUUUGGCUGGGUCCGAGUAAAUUGGAAUGGGGAGUUUUAUAUGUUAUUGGCAGGGAUGAAGAUGGUUUUGUGUCUAAAGUUGUCAGAAGGUGUUGUGAUGGUGACUUAUUUGAAUACUGUGCUAAAAUGAAUGCUGCUAAUAAACAAAAGGCCAAAAUGGGGUGAACUCAAUUCUCAAUUAGUUGUCAUGAAUGAGCCACAAUUGAUGGAAUCCAAAAUGUUCUUAUGCACAUUUAUAUUAAAACUGAAAGCAUUUGUGUUCAAGUUAUGAGGUUUAGAAACUGAUAAAGGAAUCGAUAAGUUUUCUCUCUUACUUACCUUUCUUCUCAUCACUUUUGUAGUUGAUGUUAUGAGACAUUUUGUGUACCACAUUUAUUUCUUUCCAUUCUUAUACAAAUU